GACGAACGCUGGCGGCGUGCUUAACACAUGCAAGUCGAGCGGUAAGGCCCUUUCGGGUACACGAGCGGCGAACGGGUGAGUAACACGUGGGUGACCUGCCCUCCACUUCGGGAUAAGCCUGGGAAACUGGGUCUAAUACCGGAUAUGACCUUGAAGCGCAUGUUUCUUGGUGGAAAGUUUUUCGGUGGGGAUGGGCCCGCGGUCUAUCAGCUUGUUGUGGGGUGAUGGCCUACCAAGGCGACGACGGAUAGCCGGCCUGAGAGGUGAUCGGCCACACUGGGACUGAGACACGGCCCAGACACCUACGGGUGGCAG
rnacentral:rRNA from 1 species